rnacentral:rRNA from 1 species
GACGAACGCUGGCGGCGUGCCUAAUACAUGCAAGUAGAACGCACAGUUUAUACCGUAGCUUGCUACACCAUAGACUGUGAGUUGCGAACGGGUGAGGAACGCGUAGGUAACCUGCCUGGUAGCGGGGGAUAACUAUUGGAAACGAUAGCUAAUACCGCAUAAUAUUAAUUAUUGCAUGAUAAUUAAUUGAAAGGUGCAAUUGCACCACUACCAGAUGGACCUGCGUUGUAUUAGCUAGUAGGUGAGGUAACGGCUCACCUAGGCGACGAUACAUAGCCGACCUGAGAGGGUGAUCGGCCACACUGGGACUGAGACACGGCCCAGACUCCUACGGGAGGCAGCAGUAGGGCAUCUUCGGCAAUGGACGAAAGUCUGACCGAGCAACGCCGCGUGAGUGAAGAAGGUUUUCGGAUCGUAAAGCUCUGUUGUAAGAGAAGAACGGGUGUGAGAGUGGAAAGUUCACACUGUGACGGUAUCUUACCAGAAAGGGACGGCUAACUACGUG